rnacentral:rRNA from 1 species
AGUCCACGCCGUAAACGAUGGAAGCCAGCUGUCGGCAAGUUUACUUGUCGGUGGCCCAGCUAACGCAUUAAGCUUCCCGCCUGGGGAGUACGGUCGCAAGAUUAAAACUCAAAGGAAUUGACGGGGGCCCGCACAAGCGGUGGAGCAUGUGGUUUAAUUGAAGCAACGCGCAGAACCUUACCAGCCCUUGACAUCCCGGUCGCGGCCUAGAGAGAUCUAGGUCUUCAGUUCGGCUGGACCGGUGACAGGUGCUGCAUGGCUGUCGUCAG